AAAUAGAUACCCCGGGUAGUCCACGCCCUAAACGAUGCGAACUGGAUGUUGGGUACAUUACGGUACUCAGUGUCGAAGCUAACGCGUUAAGUUCGCCGCCUGGGGAGUACGGUCGCAAGACUGAAACUCAAAGGAAUUGACGGGGGCCCGCACAAGCGGUGGAGUAUGUGGUUUAAUUCGAUGCAACGCGAAGAACCUUACCUGGCCUUGACAUCUGUCGAAUCCUGCAGAGAUGCGGGAGUGCCGCAAGGAACGACAAGACAGGUGCUGCAUGGCUGUCGUCAGCUCGUGUCGUGAGAUGUUGGGUUAAGUCCCGCAACGAGCGCAACCCUUGUCCCUAGUUGCCAGCACGUAAUGGUGGGAACUCUAGGGAGACUGCCGGUGACAAACCGGAGGAAGGUGGGGAUGACGUCAAGUCCUCAUGGCCCUUACGGCCAGGGCUACACACGUACUACGAAUGGUCGGUACAGAGGGUUGCGAAGCCGCGAGGUGGAGCCAAUCCCAGAAAACCGAAUCCCGAGUCCGGAUCGGAGUCUGCAACUCGAC
rnacentral:rRNA from 1 species